rnacentral:rRNA from 1 species
AGCGAACGCUGGCGGCAGGCUUAACACAUGCAAGUCGAGCGGGCACUUUCGGGUGUCAGCGGCGGACGGGUGCGUAACGCGUGGGAACGUGCCCUCUGGUUCGGAAUAACUCAGGGAAACUUGAGCUAAUACCGGAUACGCCCUUUUGGGGAAAGGCUUGCUGCCGGAGGAUCGGCCCGCGUCUGAUUAGCUAGUUGGUGAGGUAACGGCUCACCAAGGCGACGAUCAGUAGCUGGUCUGAGAGGAUGAUCAGCCACACUGGGACUGAGGCACGGCCCAGACUCCUACGGGAGGCAGCAGUGGGGAAUAUUGGACAAUGGGCGCAAGCCUGAUCCAGCCAUGCCGCGUGAGUGAUGAAGGCCUUAGGGUUGUAAAGCUCUUUUAUCCGGGACGAUAAUGACGGUACCGGAGGAAUAAGCCCCGGCUAACUUCGUG